GCGGGUGUGGCGGAAUUGGUAGACGCACCAGAUUUAGGUUCUGGCGCCGAGAGGCGUGGAGGUUCAAGUCCUCUCUCCCGCACCA
rnacentral:tRNA from 1 species